rnacentral:rRNA from 1 species
GACGAACGCUGGCGGCGUGCUUAACACAUGCAAGUCGAACGGAAAGGCCCUGCCUUUGUGGGGUGCUCGAGUGGCGAACGGGUGAGUAACACGUGAGUAACCUGCCCUUGACUUUGGGAUAACUUCAGGAAACUGGGGCUAAUACCGGAUAGGAGCUCCUGCUGCAUGGUGGGGGUUGGAAAGUUUCGGCGGUUGGGGAUGGACUCGCGGCUUAUCAGCUUGUUGGUGGGGUAGUGGCUUACCAAGGCUUUGACGGGUAGCCGGCCUGAGAGGGUGACCGGCCACAUUGGGACUGAGAUACGGCCCAGACUCCUACGGGAGGCAGCAGUGGGGAAUAUUACACAAUGGGCGGAAGCCUGAUGCAGCAACGCCGCGUGCGGGAUGACGGCCUUCGGGUUGUAAACCGCUUUCGCCUGUGACGAAGCGUGAGUGACGGUAAUGGGUAAAGAAGCACCGGCUAACUACGUG